CUUACUUAAUUCAAAAGUUUAAAAAAAGAAAUCGUUCUGAGGAGGGCCCAUAUCCGGGUCGAAACGUUAACUAAAAAUACGUUUUCUUAAUUGACCGAUCACCAAGACUAUAAUAUAUUUUAUUUAAUGUCAUUUAACACAUGAAAUAUUCACAAUUUAAUGACAUUAAAGUAGUGUCAUUUCGCCCAUUCGGCUUAUUGUUAGGCCAGCUUGGCGCUAACUUCACAUCGCGAAAUACGAUGCUCCAACUAUGUUCAACAAACCAUUCUACGUUAAUUCUAUCAUCAACUGUCUAAAAAGAGUCACUACGUAACCGAAUGGAUCUACUACAAAUAGCGGUUAAAUGGGGGAAUCCAAGGGAGAGGAGGUAAAGGAGAGAAGAAGAAUAGACGAACAUUUUACUUGCAUAUAAUUUCAAAGACCGGAAGUUAACGCCCGGACUGAGCGUGCAUACAAUCGAAGACCGUGAC